rnacentral:rRNA from 2 species
AGCGGCAGACGGGUGAGUAACGCGUGGGAAUCUACCCAUCACUAGGGAAUAACUCAGGGAAACUUGUGCUAAUACCCUAUACGACCGAGAGGUGAAAGAUUUAUCGGUGAUGGAUGAGCCCGCGUUGGAUUAGCUAGUUGGUGGGGUAAAGGCCUACCAAGGCGACGAUCCAUAGCUGGUCUGAGAGGAUGAUCAGCCACACUGGGACUGAGACACGGCCCAGACUCCUACGGGAGGCGCAGUGGGGAUAUUGGACAUGGGCGCAGCCUGAUCCAGCCAUGCCGCGUGAGUGAUGAAGGCCUAGGGUUGUAAGCUCUUUCACCGGUGAAGAAAUGACGGAACCGGAGAAGAACCCCGGCUACUUCGUGCCAGCAGCCGCGGUAUACGAAGGGGCUAGCGUGUUCGGAUUACUGGGCGUAAGCGCACGUAGGCGGGCUAAUAGUCAGGGUGAAUCCCGGGCUCACCCCGGACUGCCUUGAACUGUAGUCUUGAGAUGGAAAGGGAGUGGAUUCCAGUGUAGAGUGAAUUCGAAAUUUCGGAGGACACCGUGGCGAAGCGGUCAUGGUCCUUACUGACCUGAGUGCGAAGCGUGGGAGCAACAGGAUAGAUCCCUGGAGUCACGCCGUAACAUAAUGUAGCGUUGGGAGUUACUCUCGUGGGCACUACGCUUAACUUCCCCUGGGAGACGGCGCAGAUAAACUCAAAGAAUGACGGGGCCGCAC